rnacentral:rRNA from 1 species
CACGGUGGGAGCAAGCGUUGUUCGGAUUCAUUGGGCGGAAAGGGCUCGUAGGUGGCUUUGUAAGUCGGAGGUGAAAUCCCACGGCUCAACCGUGGACACGCCUUCGAAACUGUGAAGCUUGAGGCUGGGAGAGGAAAUCGGAAUUCCUGGUGUAGCGGUGAAAUGCGUAGAUAUCAGGAGGAACACCGGUGGCGAAGGCGGAUUUCUGGACCAGUUCUGACACUGAUGAGCGAAAGCCAGGGGAGCAAACAGG